GACAGCAGUCGCCACGGUAAUACAGAGGGUGCGAGCGUUAAUCGGAUUUACUGGGCGUAAAGCGUGCGUAGGCGGCUUUUUAAGUCGGAUGUGAAAUCCCUGAGCUUAACUUAGGAAUUGCAUUCGAUACUGGGAAGCUAGAGUAUGGGAGAGGAUGGUAGAAUUCCAGGUGUAGCGGUGAAAUGCGUAGAGAUCUGGAGGAAUACCGAUGGCGAAGGCAGCCAUCUGGCCUAAUACUGACGCUGAGGUACGAAAGCAUGGGGAGCAAACAGGAUUAGAUACCCGUGUAGUCCCUGUCUCUUAUAC
rnacentral:rRNA from 1 species